UACAGAGAGUGCAAGCGUUAAUCGGAAUUACUGGGCGUAAAGCGCGCGUAGGUGGAUAUUUAAGUCGGAUGUGAAAUCCCUGGGCUUAACCUAGGAACUGCAUUCGAUACUGGAUAUCUCGAGUAUGGUAGAGGGAAGUGGAAUUUCCGGUGUAGCGGUGAAAUGCGUAGAUAUCGGAAAGAACACCAGCGGCGAAGGCGACUUCCUGGACUAAUACUGACACUGAGGCGCGAAAGCGUGGGGAGCAAACAGG
rnacentral:rRNA from 1 species